rnacentral:rRNA from 1 species
AGGAUGAACGCUGGCGGCGUGCCUAAUACAUGCAAGUCGAACGAGUCCUUCGGGACGAGUGGCGGACGGGUGAGUAACACGUUGGUACCUGCCCCGAAGUGGGGAAUAACUGCCCGAAAGGGUGGCUAAUACCGCAUAAUACCGCAAGGUUAAAGCAGUAAUGCGCUUCGGGAGGGGCCUGCGUCCCAUUAGCUAGUUGGUAGGGUAAUGGCCUACCAAGGCGACGAUGGGUAGCUGGAUCGAGAGGUUGACCAGCCACACUGGGACUGAGAUACGGCCCAGACUCCUACGGGAGGCAGCAGUAAGGAAUCUUCCACAAUGGACGAAAGUCUGAUGGAGCAACGCCGCGUGCAGGAUGACGGUCUUCGGAUUGUAAACUGCUUUUAUAUGGGAAGAUUAUGACGGUACCAUAUGAAUAAGGACCGGCUAACUACGCGCCAGCAGCCGC